UGCGGUCCUUGUCAGCGCUUCUGAACCCACAACACACGCACGUAAAUACAUACAAAGUUUAUUAAAAAUAGGCUGCGAAUGAAAUACAGUAGAAAUGGAAACUACAGCAGUUUGAUGUCCUCUCCCCAGGAACGCAGUCAAGAAAAGCACUCUCACACAUUUUCACAUCUGGCCCCUCGUCCGAGGACGGCCGAAUCCACGUGUUACAGGUUUACCACCACACAUACAAAUAUCCCUGCACGUAGGUAUUUACAUGUAUUUGCAUGUACUCAGGUGUGUUUGUUGUUUUUCUAUGUAUUAACAGAAACAUCGUUCGCCUGCGGCUUCUUCUUCAAAGAAAGUGUGGAUUUAGUCCUCCAAGGCUGCGGGGUUGCCGAGAACUCGGGAGGGCCCGCUCUGCCUGGCACUUCGGGAGCAAGCAUGCAAUCCUUCAUGAGCACGUGGCGCCGUCUCACUCCCCUGCGUGGCGUGGGCACAGCACACUUCCAAAGCAGAGCCUCUGCGUCUCUGCUGGAAAGUGUGCCCGCGUGGGAGAGAAUGACAUGGCACAGACAACCAUCCAGGGCCACAGCGCGCACAUCAGAUGGACAAUUGGCCCGUGGGCACAAGGUCAUUUAGUGUCGGAACAUCGCGUGUCAGAGAACAGAGCGAGGCGCGGCUCCCUGACAGCAGCCCCGUGUUCACAGCGGAAGAAGUGACAGUGGUAACUAAUGAUCAGUACAUGAAAAUUAAAUAACUCUAUCAGAAUGUAGAAAAAUAGCCGGAACCGCCACACGAGUUACUCUUACAGCAUUUAAGUGACAGGCGCCCUGUGCCACCACACCCUUCCUCUCCCUGGCGCCCUGACAGCAGAGCCUGGAAACCGAGGGUUCGCGUUUUGCAUCUCUGAGCAGGGCUGUGCUCCAUGUCGCCUCCGAAGCGCCCAGUCUUCUCAGGUGUUUCUGUUCCUAAUCACGUCCACGCCACUGUUCAGCUCAGGACAGACUCCCUCGGAACACUUGGAACAGCUCGUGCACUAACUGGACUGUCGUCUUCCAAGCCCCCAAGGCUUUGCUGGUGUAACAGCCAUCUGGUAUUUAUAAACCUAAAAUCUCCCAGGCUGGAACCCUAACAUUUUCUGGGAGAAGCUUUUCCAAUCGGACGCUCAGAGCUACCCCGGGGGCUGCCCUGUUGGGACAGGAGGGAGCAGCGUCCCUUUGGGAGCUUGGUGCUGAGCUCGGGGCGGGUCUCCUACAGACAAGCGCCCUCCUGGCGGAGAAGACCUGACGCUCCCGACGCACGCACGCACGCACAUCUGGGAGGCUUUGCUGUUCGAGAGCCGAACCGGGUUUUUGAAGAACAGAGAGGGCGAC
rnacentral:lncRNA from 1 species